UGGGGAAUCUUGCACAAUUGGGAAACCCUGAUGCAGCGACGCCGCGUGAGUGAUGAAGCCCUUCGGGUGUAAAGCUCUUUCGACAGGAACGAUAAUGACGGUACCUGAAGAAGAAGCUGCGGCUAACUACGUGCCAGCAGCCGCGGUAAUACGUAGGCAGCAAGCGUUGUUCGGAAUUACUGGGCGUAAAGAGUGUGUAGGCGGUGCACUAAGUUUGUCGUGAAAUCUCCCGGCUUAACUGGGAGGGUGCGGCGAAUACUGGUGUGCUCGAGGGUGGGAGAGGUAAGCGGAAUUCCUGGUGUAGCGGUGAAAUGCGUAGAUAUCAGGAGGAACACCUGUGGUGUAGACAGCUUACUGGACCAUUUCUGACGCUGAGACACGAAAAGCGUGGGUAGCAAACA
rnacentral:rRNA from 1 species